rnacentral:rRNA from 1 species
AACGAACGCUGGCGGCAUGCCUAACACAUGCAAGUCGAACGAGACCUUCGGGUCUAGUGGCGCACGGGUGCGUAACGCGUGGGAACCUGCCUUUAGGUUCGGAAUAACUCAGAGAAAUUUGAGCUAAUACCGGAUGAUGUUUUCGGACCAAAGAUUUAUCGCCUUUAGAUGGGCCCGCGUUGGAUUAGCUAGUUGGUGGGGUAAAGGCCUACCAAGGCGACGAUCCAUAGCUGGUCUGAGAGGAUGAUCAGCCACACUGGGACUGAGACACGGCCCAGACUCCUACGGGAGGCAGCAGUGGGGAAUAUUGGACAAUGGGCGAAAGCCUGAUCCAGCAAUGCCGCGUGAGUGAUGAAGGACUUAGGGUUGUAAAGCUCUUUUACCCGAGAUGAUAAUGACAGUAUCGGGAGAAUAAGCGCCGGCUAACUCCGUG